UAGGGAAUCUUCGGCAAUGGACGAAAGUCUGACCGAGCAACGCCGCGUGAGUGAAGAAGGUUUUCGGAUCGUAAAACUCUGUUGUUAGAGAAGAACAAGGGUGAGAGUAACUGUUCACCCCUUGACGGUAUCUAACCAGAAAGCCACGGCUAACUACGUGCCUG
rnacentral:rRNA from 1 species